rnacentral:lncRNA from 1 species
CUAUUUGUGGGUUAGACUUGGACUUCGGCCACAUUUAAUAGCCCCUCCUGGAUCACUCCCCCCUUAGACAAGGUCAGCCUGAGCCUGCUUUGGGCAUACCCUGGGGAAGAUAUGGAUUCCUGCAAUGUUUUGGACUGUGAGUACAUCAGGAUGAAGAGUCUGUGUUGGUGUUUGUGGUGUACAGGCUUCUGAUUCAGCAGAUGAAGUGCUUGGUGACACGAAGGAACAAGCAGAUCUAUGAACAGUGGAAACAAUACAACAAGUUUUCCGACGUAUUUGUGCCACCUAGUAGUCUCCUUUAACAUCUAACAGCAUGAGUGGGGAAUCAAAUCUUCUGCCACUGCUGGGAUACUCACAGCAUCGCUCCACUGGGC